rnacentral:rRNA from 1 species
UUCCGGUUGAUCCUGCCAGAGGUCACUGCUAUUGGGAUUCGACUAAGCCAUGCGAGUUGUGAGGGUUCGGCCCUCAGCUGACGGCUCAGUAACACGUAGAUAAUUUGCCCUUAGGUGGAGGAUACCCUCGGGAAACUGAGAAUAAUACUCCAUAGAUCUAGUCUGCUGGAAUGCUUUUAGAUCGAAAGAUUUAUCGCCUAAGGAUAAGUCUGCGGACUAUCAGGUUGUAGUCAGGGUAAAGACCUGACUAGCCUACGACGGAUACGGGUAGUGAGAGCUUUAGCCCGGAGAUGAUAUCUGAGACACGAUAUCAGGCCCUACGGGGCGCAGCAGGCGCGAAAACUUUGCACUGUGCGAAAGCACGACAAGGGAAUCCCAAGUGCUGGCUCGUAAGAGUCAGCUGUUUUUCUGUCUAAAACGCAGAGAGAGUAAGGGCUGGGUAAGACGGGUGCCAGCCGCCGCGGUAAUACCUGCAGCCCAAGUGGUGGCCGCUAUUAUUGGGCCUAAAACGUCCGUAGCCGGUUCUAUAAAUGCCUGGGUAAAUCGUACGGCUUAACCGUACGAAUUCCGGGUAGACUGUUCAACUUGGGACCGGGAGAGGCUAGAGGUACUCCUGGAGUAGAGGUGAAAUUCUGUAAUCCUAGGGGGACCACCAGUGGCGAAGGCGUCUAGCUAGAACGGGUCUGACGGUGAGGGACGAAGCCCUGGGGCGCAAACGGGAUUAGAUACCCCGGUAGUCCAGGGUGUAAACGCUGCUUGCUUGAUGUUAGUCGGGCUCCGAGCCCAACUAGUGUCGGAGAGAAGUUGUUAAGCAAGCUGCCUGGGGAGUACGGCCGCAAGACUGAAACUUAAAGGAAUUGGCGGGGAGCACCGCAACGGGUGGAGCGUGCGGUUUAAUUGGAUUCAACCCCGGG